CCCGUGUAUGUGUGUGUGUGAGCCCGGGCGGGAGCCGCACACGGCGGCAGCCGGGGCUGCGGGCUGGAGGGCUCGGUCCUGUGUGUGGAGCCUGAGCUAUGGAAAUGCGAAACCUCGAAAUAAAACAUGAGAAGAUGAAGGGGUUGGACAAAUUCAGCUGGAGGAGAGAGAGCGAGCUGCUGUCUUAAAAGCAGCCAGCGGAGGCUAAUGAGACCUUUGGGGCAGCUGAAGAAGGUAGCAGGGUUCUAUCCGUGUUUCAGGAGACAACAUGGGCCGUGUGAUGUGCUCUGACCUGCCUCCUAUUGUACAAUUUUGCCGUUGGCUUCAGCGAGGGAAAGACCGAGUUUUAUCUGAAUAAAGUCCAGCAAACUUUGCUGGAUGGCAGCCCUUCCUCUCCUUCCUCCUUUGAGCUUCAUUCAGAGUCGGUGUAAAACUAGUCUGGAUGUCAAAUGUCUCUUUUAAAGCUUUUCCCACAAGCACAUGCUUCUCUAAGAGUUGCUUAAUAAUAAUUAAAAUAAUUACAAUAUUUUGUGACUCCUUUUUUUUUUUUUUUUUUUUUUUUUAAGUUUCUCUUUAAGGCUGAGUGCAACUGUCAGCCGAGAGGAUGAAAUUUUAGGUCACUGUAGAGUUUAUUUCCAGGGGUCGUUAAUUAGUAAUGUUGCAGAAGUGAAGGCAGAAACUUCUUGGCUGAGAUUAGGUUAUGUAGGAAGGAAAACCUGUCAGUGGACUCCAUUACAUCUGUAACCAGGGACGACUUUCUUGUCCAGAAAAAGAGAAACGUUGCAAAGAAUAGGGACAGACAAUGAUCUUCAAGGAAGAAACGGAGGGCGGUGGGACAAUUUGGGCUGCCCGGAACUGAGCCGACCUGAGCCCCGAGAAAUGUGGGGUGGAAAAGGCUCUGGGGCAAGGAAAAAAACCCAAAUGGGGAAGGGAGGAAGAUGACACUUAAGAUAACUAAACAGUUUGUGAUUAGGGGAAGAGAGCGGCCGAUGAAGCCGCGUUCAAAAUUAGGAUUAUCCUUCAACCUGGGAAUGGAGAGGGGCUGAAUUUGACUUCGCCCGCAUGGCGGUGGUUUGUGUGUAGCGAAGGAAAGUUUUAACCCAAAUAUCUGACAAGCAGCGAUAAUCACCGGAAUGGUUAAAAAGACACUGGGAAGAAUCAAAAAGGCGAAGGGAAAAAAAAAAAAAAAAAAAAAAAAGACAACACAUAUACACACAAAAACAAAACCCCCAAAAAACCGCGAAGCUGCCAAAGAAGCCCGUAAGGGAACGAACGGGGGAAUGCACAGAAAAAAGGAAAGAAAAAUUAUUCUAUGAUGCCUCUAUAUUCCGACAGGAAUAAAUGUAAAAUGA